ACGCUACAACGUUCAAGGCGGCAUCUGACAAACUGAGUGUGCCAUGGAUGUUCAAUCCUCCAGCUGCACCAUGGCAUGGAGGCUUCUAUGAGCGAAUGGUUGGUACAGUGAAGAGUGCCUUGAAAAAGGUAAUGGGAACAGCGUUUCUGAAGGUUCAGGAGCUUGAGACCAUCUUGUAUGAGGUUGAAGCAGUGGUGAAUAGUCGUCCGUUAACUUAUGUGUCUGAUAGCCUGGAUGAGCCACCAGUAACCCCUGCAAUGAUGAUGGGUAACAUUUGGAUGUCGUCAGCGAAGCCAGCAGGUACCCCGGACGCUACGCAUAUGUCAGCGAGAUUGCGUUACCUCAGUCAGACAAUGAAGCAUGUCAAGAAUCGUUGGGAGGUGGAGUACCUAAGUCAGCUGAACAAGCACCAACAGACCAUGUCGCGCCCUUUAGCUGUGGGUGAUGUUGUCUUUGUUCUCGAUGAUACCAAGCGCAAACAGUUCUGGCGUUUGGGACGGAUCAUCGAGUUAUUCCCUGGUCGAGAUGGCAAGCGUCGUGUUGCCAAGGUUAAGUUGAGUACCAGUACCCUGUUGAGGCCGAUCCAAAGGUUAGUGCCAUUAGAAGUAUCGUCACAGGACGUGGCUCCUGGGCUUGCCGAUACCGCUCAACCUGCUAUCGUCCCUCAGCAGCCAGCGUAUGAACCGCCAGCACCGUUACCACCACCACGGCAGCAGGAGAUGACGCGUUCUGGGCGCGUAGUCAGAGCCCCGGAUCGUUUUUGACUUGUGUGCAUUGUUGUACGGCGGUGAGAAGCCCUUUGGUGGGGAGAAUGUUGUAAACCACCAGUUCUCAAUUGGGAAAGGCCUUCGCGUUUAUGGCAUUGUAUUCGUUGAAAUGUUGUAUUUCGACUCCGCCGUACCGCUGAUGUUGCUGCAUGGCAUACGCUAUAUGCGUUGUGUGCGUUUUGCUGUAUACGCUGUUAUGUCCAGUUUUAUAUGCUUAUGUUUUGCAUGUACGCUGUUUCUGCAUGCUAUAAAUAGCUGGUGUUAUUAGUGUUCAUUGUUAAUUAUCAGAUGAAGUGAAAUAUACUGUGUAAAGGAAAA